rnacentral:rRNA from 1 species
UACGGAGGGUGCAAGCGUUAUCCGGAUUCACUGGGUUUAAAGGGUGCGUAGGAGGGUAGGUAAGUCAGUGGUGAAAUCUUCGAGCUUAACUCGGAAACUGCCGUUGAUACUAUCUAUCUUGAAUACCGUGGAGGUGAGCGGAAUAUGUCAUGUAGCGGUGAAAUGCUUAGAUAUGACAUAGAACACCAAUUGCGAAGGCAGCUCACUACGCGAAUAUUGACACUGAGGCACGAAAGCGUGGGGAUCAAACAGG